rnacentral:tRNA from 1 species
UGGGAUGUAGCUCAUUGGUACAGUUUUUGCUUGAUAAAUAUAUAUAUAUAUAUAUAUAUAUAUAUAUAUAUAUAUAUAUAUAUAUAUAUAUUCCUGGGUUCAAUCCCCAGAACCCCAC